UUUGUACACAUAUGUACAAAGGGAAAAGGCUGUGAAGCUCCUGGUAGAAGAAGGCCAUCUACAAACCAAGGAGAAGGCCUGUAACAGACUCUUCCCUCACAGCCCUUAGAAGGAACCAGAUCUAUCAACACUUUGAUCUCAGAUGUCUAGCCUCCAGAAGAGAUCAGAUACCUGCAAAAUAGAAUUACUAUCUGGGAUUCCAAAACUUUGGCUUAG